UGGAAUCAUGUUUAGCUAAGGGCAGGAAUGGGAACAGGGACACAGGCCUUGGCAGAGAUGCACUGGGCUUGUGGGAGGAUGGAAGGUAAGAAAAUAUGAACAUCUGAAAGAAAAACCAGAAGUCUAAUUGCAUAGGCUCGGAUGAUUAUGCUCCCACCAUUUCUGAAAUGGGAAAGACAAAACAAGGAGACAGACAAGAUACUGUAAUGGGUGAAUGACCAGGGUGCAGUAGGCUUCACUAAAGCCACCACAGUAUACAUUCUGAAGAUAAUCAGUGCACCAUUUUCAGACCAGGCCAAAUCUUGUGGUCCUUCCUCCAUUUUAACUCUGGACACUCCUAUUGAAGACACCGGAGAUUUGUCUGAGUACAGACCUCCAGGAUUUUUUUUUUUUUUUUUUUUGUAAAAUGGUCCACAAUGGUGUCUUUACACCAUCCUCUAAAGAAUUCUGUGUUGGCCAGCAUCAGUGACAGAAUGCAUCGCUAGAUGGACUUGUGGCCUAAUGCAAGGCCUUCGUUCCUGGUAUUUGACCUGCUGUACCUCAUUAUUUUGAUUUUUUUUUUAGGUGAAUGAGCCAUCUUCCUGGCCCUUGUAUCUGAACUUGUUUGCCUGCGUAGGCUUCAUUAUGUCGCUGAAAGGGCUGAGGUAUUUGCCAUUUGGCAUUUGCUUGGCAGUACUGUUUCAGUUGGGAGGAUUGACAUCCUGCAGAAUCUGGUUCAGUAAAUAAAAUGUAAGCUGGUUUAGCAAGUAGGGGUAAAAUGUGGGGAUGUAAUAAACUGGUCCCACAUAACAAACAUAGGGCUAAAUCCUGAAAUUCUUAUGCAAACAUGAAUUAGUAAUAACCAUAGUACUUGGCAUUUCUGUAUGUUCAAAGCACAGUAAAUGCAUGAACCAACUAAUCUUUUCGAGGCCCCAGUGAACAAGGUGGGCAAAUCAUUCCCAUUUUAUAGUUGGGAAAAGUAAGACAGAAGGUGAAGUGGCUUCUUCAAUGGCACAGUAAUUCAAUAUCUGAACCAGACUAAAGAACAAAUGAGCAGCUGGCUACCAACCCUGUGCUUAUUCCCUAGGGGAAUAUUUUACUUUUCAAAAAGCCGCCUCAUUUGUUGGCACUCAGGAGCUGUGUCUCCAAAGAGAAGGACUCACUCUAACAGUGAGUCAAAACACCUGCUAGAAAGCAAAACUUCAAAAGAACCAUUCAGACAUGAAGCCAUAAUCUGCAUACGUUUUCCCUGAUGGUCUUUCACUACUGCAAGCCACUGGCUAA